AUUGAACGCUGGCGGCAUGCCUUACACAUGCAAGUCGAACGGCAGCACGGGAGCAAUCCUGGUGGCGAGUGGCGAACGGGUGAGUAAUAUAUCGGAACGUGCCCAGUCGUGGGGGAUAACGUAGCGAAAGCUACGCUAAUACCGCAUACGAUCUAUGGAUGAAAGCGGGGGAUCGCAAGACCCCGCGCGAUUGGAGCGGCCGAUAUCAGAUUAGGUAGUUUGUGGGGUAAAAGCUCACGAAGCCGACGAUCUGUAGCUGGUCUGAGAGGACGACCAGCCACACUGGGACUGAGACACGGCCCAGACUCCUACGGGAGGCAGCAGUGGGGAAUUUUGGACAAUGGGCGCAAGCCUGAUCCAGCAAUGCCGCGUGCAGGAUGAAGGCCUUCUGGUUGUAAACUGCUUUUGUACGGAGCGAAAAGGCUUCCACUAAUACUGGGGGCUCAUGACGGUACCGUAAGAAUAAGCACCGGCUAACUACGUGCCAGCCGCCGCGGUAAUAC
rnacentral:rRNA from 1 species